rnacentral:rRNA from 1 species
AACGUAGGACGCGAGCGUUAUCCGGAGUUACUGGGCGUAAAGCGCGGGCAGGCGGUCUGACAAGUCUGAUGUGAAAUCUCCGGGCUUAACCGGGAGAGGCCAUUGGAAACUGACAGGCUGGAGGGCAGUAGAGGUAGGCGGAAUUCCGGGUGGAGUGGUGAAAUGCGUAGAGAUCCGGAGGAACACCAGAGGCGAAGGCGGCCUACUGGGCUGCACCUGACGCUGAGCCGCGAAAGCUAGGGGAGCAAACGGG